CGCAGCUUCGGCGGCCAUGGUCUCACGACUUCCACACCGGGCUUCCCACCUGCUUUAACAGGACAGGAUUCGUUUAGUCGAUGUGCAGCCACUGGCUAAAUGGAGUCAAACCAGUGACACCAAACCUGCCUGUGAGACGUCCUUCCGUGAGGGCAAGUGGAGCCAGACCAUGCCAGGAAAAAGCCUCCCACAGCAUCACAGAGCCAGCAGACCUCCUCAGUGUAGGGACCAAGCAUUCGGAUUUGGUUGACUGCAUUCUUCUCUGAGCUGUGAUAGGAGCCGGGGUCCCAACGGCGUAUCACACUGCCCUUCAGGUCUGUCUGGCAUUUAGCGAUGAGGUAGACCUUGCGGAGGAUGGUGCGACGCAGCAGGAUGUAGACCCAGGGGUCCAGAAUCUGGUUCCAGGAGGCCAGCCUGACGCCCAUCACCAUCAAGGUUUUAUAGCUGGACAGAUCGUCCCCGAUGGAGUCUCUGUAGGAGCGGAUCACCGACAUCAGGCCGAAGAUCUGCAGACAUGAGGCAGCACAUGCACUAAUUAUUAUUGUAAAGUAGCUGUGUCUGUGGUCAAGCUGCUGUGGGGACACUAGUCUGUUGUAUGACUUGAAAUGUCACAGAAAUAUAUUUUAGUAUUUGAUCAAACACCUCAGUAUCAUAUUGUGAUGUAUUGUGAUGGCUAUUUAUGAUUUUGUAAUAUCUUUACAUUUUUGGUAAACAAUUAAUUAGGAAUGUGGAUAUGAUGACCAAACAAGUAGAGGCAAAUAACAGAACAGGUACUGUAGGCCAGUCUGAUAAUAAUAAGAAUAGAAAUGUGCAUCCCUUUUCUGUAAUGCAGACUCUAAAACCAGGAAGAGACUAGAUUAAUGCCAUAUCAUAAUAUUAUGAGAUCCAAAAUGCCAGAUGACAUCCAGUCUCAUAUCAAAAUAACAGCAACAUAAUAUCAGUAAAUCGCCCAAUCUUUGUUAGUGAUGAGGAGCAGUUCUUAAAUGAUCUUGUUCAUUUGGAAAUAAUAAUACCAGUAAUACUGGAGAAAAACAGGUUCAGAUUUUCAAACAGGCCUGUGUAAAGAUAAUUAACUGUUUUAUUCUGUUGCUAAUUUGGCAGCUGAAUUAAUGACACACUCCUACAUGAAUGUAAAAAAUUCCAAAUAAAAAAUGCCACAAUCA